rnacentral:lncRNA from 1 species
AGCCAGUCCCCUCGGGACCCUUCCGCCCGGCCCUGACGGCAGGGGCGGGGCGAGGGCUGCCCUCUGAUUGGCUCUUCGGGUGAAUGGUUGCCAAGAGACGAGUAAAUCCUCAGCGGCGGGAAGGGGCGGGGUGCUCAGGGAGGCAGCACUGCGCAAGCGCAAUAGAGGGGGCUGCGUCGACACCCACUUAACUUCGGAGUUAGUGGGACACCUUUCUUUUUGCUUAGUGCUGGGGGAAAAGAUUACUUCCCAGAUGCAGUAUUUACAUCUCCUCCGCCCUACUCUUCCAACCCUGCCUGAAAUAAGUGUGGUUCUCCUGUCUGUCAGACUAUGAAGAGUUCUCAAAUAUGUCUUUCCCAGCGAGGGAGAGGAGAAAACUUCAGCCUCCACGAUCGAUGUUUCUCAAGUGUCAAGGAAAAUGGAGCCUAGGAGGGCAGCCCCACAAGCAGCGUGAUGGGCAUUUAAGCCGACGCAUGUGCCAGGUCCUAGAACAGAGUAACUUCCCCAUCUCAACACAAUAAAAUGGUGAUAUGAGAAUACCUGUCUUAUGCGGAUGUUGUGAGGAUGAAGUGGGCUAAUUCACACACAGGAAGUUUUCAAAAAAUGUCAGCUAGUAUUAUUCAGGAGGCUUCCCUCUCUGGGACUGAGAUUCUUCUCCUGAAAAAGGAGGGAAUCUUCCAGAAAAUCUCCAGGGCCCCUACCAGCCUGACAUGCAGCUCUUGGCAGAGAAUGGAGCUGAGGCAGGAGCUUCUUCAAAGACCCUCUCAUUGAGGAGCAAGGGACCCUGACCAGCCAUUGCCCACUGUUCACCACGUGAGGUCACAGGGACUGUCUGCUAGGCGGCCCCCAGGCCCCUCAGGGAAGACAUUGAUGUUAGUUUUGUUUUUGUUUUGUUUUCAGUGUAGAAAUGUAGCAGAGAAACACAGGGCAAGUCCACGCUGAUCAUCACAUACAUGGUACAUCAAGAGCAGGGCUGAGCACGCAGUCUAAGACAUUGUGUCAUCCUGUGGGGCUCAGGCUCCUCAUCCAUACAAUAGGGUCACCCUGCCUGUCACUUGGAGUAACCAUGAGAAUUACAUAAGAUAACCUGUGUGACCUGUGAAAGUGUGUGUCCCAUCACAGCACCUGGUGCAUAUCUGUUUUCCUUC